rnacentral:lncRNA from 1 species
AUGAGUGGUGUUUCUUCCAAGAGCCAUGGCCUGCUCACACAUAGAGUGUAUGGAAGUAGAAGAAAACCGAUCCCCUGCCCCUGUCACUUCAGUGUGCAAGGAAAGAGGAGAAGCAUUCGCCUAUAUUCUGUAAGUAAGCUUUUGAAAAGUUAAGAAAUUAACUGUUUAAAUUAAAAGUCUAUCUGUCAUGAUUCCUUAGAAAUGUAACAGGGACCCAGUGCUGUUAGCAUGAUCCUUUUUUGUGAAUUUUCUAACGCUUUUCUAU